AGUGAACGCUGGCGGUAGGCCUAACACAUGCAAGUCGAACGGCAGCACAGUAAGAGCUUGCUCUUACGGGUGGCGAGUGGCGGACGGGUGAGGAAUACAUCGGAAUCUACUUUUUCGUGGGGGAUAACGUAGGGAAACUUACGCUAAUACCGCAUACGACCUACGGGUGAAAGCAGGGGAUCUUCGGACCUUGCGCGAUUGAAUGAGCCGAUGUCGGAUUCGCUAGUUGGCGGGGUAAAGGCCCACCAAGGCGACGAUCCGUAGCUGGUCUGAGAGGAUGAACAGCCACACUGGAACUGAGACACGGCCCAGACUCUGACGGUAGGCAGCAGUGGGGAAUAUUGGACAAUGGGGGCAAGCCUGAUCCAGCCAUACCGCGUGGGUGAAGAAGGCCUUCGGGUUGUAAAGCCAUUUUGUUGGGAAAGAAAAGCAGCAGGUUAAUACCCCGCUGUUCUGACGGUACCCAAAGAAUAAGCACCGGCUAACUUCGUG
rnacentral:rRNA from 1 species